rnacentral:tmRNA from 1 species
GGGGGCGUUCUGGGAUUCGACGGGGACAGAUCGAGCGUCGGUAGCGAGCCGAGGGGCUGCGUCCUUCGUAAAAAACGCGGAUGGCCAAAUGUAACUGGCAAACAAGAAAACUACGCUCUGGCUGCUUAAUUUAACCAGCCAGGAUCCGUUUGCGUCAUCGCCCGUGUGGCGUAAACGGGUCUCAUAACCUUAGCGGGCUAGUCUGACCGAGUCGCUGUCGACGGUCAGGCGAAAUCAAGACAGCUAGUUCGACGGAGCGCCUGUCACUGGGCAGUCCGCCGAGCGAAACUCUAAUACAGUGACUGCGCUCGGAGAAGCCGGCGUGGCGAUGUCUUCGGACAGCGGUUCGACUCCGCUCGCCUCCACCA